rnacentral:rRNA from 1 species
UCUGGCGGCAUUAGCGCGGUGGUCCCACCUGACCCCAUGCCGAACUCAGAAGUGAAACGCCGUAGCGCCGAUGGUAGUGUGGGGUCUCCCCAUGCGAGAGUAGGGAACUGCCAGGC